rnacentral:lncRNA from 1 species
AGAGAUUGAAGCAAGGCACUCAGAAGACCUGAACCUCAAAAGACUGAAUGAAGCCAUGAGGGUGAGCCAGCCAGCAUCCUCAGCCUGCAAGCAGAUGACACACUACAACCUGGACCGUGAGGUCCAGGAAAUGGCUGCAAGGAUACACUCGCUGAUGGACAGCCACAUCUUCCAGAUCUUCUGGGAAGAAGCUGCAAAGUCAUUGAGUGAUCCCCAAGGAGAAUCUGAAAGGCAAACCCUUGCACUUAUAGAGGCCUAUGAGUACUUGUACUCACCUUGUAACCAGAGGUUCAUGAAACUGUAUCAGGAUCUGAAGUCAGGAGAGGUCACCUUUGGAGAAAUCAAUGUCAUCUUCAAGGACUUUGUAGAUAAAUACAAUGACCUGACUUUAGACCUCCAGAUCAUGUGUGAAGUAGACCCCCAGGCCCAGAGGGACUGGAUCUCACCCCGUGUUGAGCAGAUCAAGGAGUACCAUAGCCUGCACCAGGCAACCAAUUUGGCAAAGGUCAUCUUGCAAGUCAAAAACAAUUUUGGAUUGACCGGUGACUUCAGUGUUAUUUACACUUUAAUAAACUUUAUUGAUGACCUCGCAGCUACCCACCAUGAGAGACUGGACCAGAUCAGCCCUCAGCUCAUCCAGGCCAAGAAACUGCUGCAGGAUAUCAGUGAGCCCCGCUGCAAGUGUCUGGAGGAGCUGGCCCUGCAGAAGGAGCUGGUCAGCUGGCUGCAGGAGGCUCUGGGAGGCAUCACCGAGCUCCAGGUAUUUGUGGACCUGGCCUCCAUCUCAGCUGGAGAGAGCGACAUUGACGUGGACCGGGUGGCCUGCUUCCACGAUGCUGUGCAGGGCUAUGCGUCCCUGCUGUAUAAGCUGGACAAGAAGGCAGGCUUCAGCGAGUUCAUGGAACAGUUGAGAGAACUCUGGAAGGCUCUGCAAAAUGACUCCCAUCUGCCCCGUAAAUUGGUGAGUCUUGUUCCUGGUUCCAAAGCAUGGAGGUCCUGCAGCCCUGGGGAGCAGCUAUGCUUUGAGGGCAUGCAGGCAUGGAGGCAUGUAGGCAGCCAUUUAAACUGAUGUUUAAAACCAGCUUUUCUUUGUCUUGGGUUGGAAGGGAGCUACAGUAC